GACGAACGCUGGCGGCGUGCUUAACACAUGCAAGUCGAGCGGUAAGGCCCUUUCGGGGGUACACGGAGCGGCGAACGGGUGAGUAACACGUGGGUGACCUGCCUUUAGCUCUGGGAUAAGCCUGGGAAACUGGGUCUAAUACCGGAUAUGACCCUAUGGCGCAUGUUGUGGGGUGGAAAGCCUUGUGCGGCUAGGGAUGGGCCCGCGGCCUAUCAGCUUGUUGGUGGGGUGAUGGCCUACCAAGGCGACGACGGGUAGCCGGCCUGAGAGGGCGACCGGCCACACUGGGACUGAGACACGGCCCAGACUCCUACGGGAGGCAGCAGUGGGGAAUCUUGCGCAAUGGGCGAAAGCCCGACGCAGCGACGCCGCGUGAGGGAUGACGGCCUCGG
rnacentral:rRNA from 1 species